AGCGGGUGCUCCCUGCCGGUCUUCACCUACCUUGUAGCCAGCAGUUUGGAGCUGUACCGAUUGGUCUUGAUGAAACGGAGAAAAGUUCGCUGACAGAAGAGGUCGCUCUUCCCUGCCUCCCUCCUGAGAAGCCCCACAGGAUGUGAAAAGAUAACCCGUGGGACAAGCCAGGUUAUCCAGAGACCAGGUGACCAUGACUCACCUCCAGAGGAUGGCGUGAUGCUCUGUGAGAAGCCGGAGGAGAAGGACAGAAGAACCACGGGGUACACGGUCCAGGAGAGUCUCGCCCCACUGCCCAUGGCUGUCCGGCUGGUAUCCCGAGCGUGUACAGGAAUCCCAUCGCCCCGAGC